CAUACUUUAAUGUAAAAGUUAAAGCAAGAUUGGAAAAUGAAUACCAAGACUACUUUUACAUUGGUUGUCCAAUAUGUUCCACAAAGACAGUUGCAUCAUAUGGUACGGAGUUCAUGUGUUACUCAACUCCAUGCAAGAACAUGAGAAUAGCAAAUCGAAGCUUCAGAUUUAGUCUCAUGGUCUUUGAUGCGUCUGGACAAGUGGAAGUCACUUUUUUGGGGAAAGAAGCUCAAAAACUUCUUGGCCUAGAUCCUUCCGAGUUUUAUAAAAAACAAAAUCAGGGACCCAUAACGCAGGUGGAUUUUCUUAGGCAACGCCUAUGCAAUAUUGUCUUACUCUUAAAGUUAAAAAGUCGAAUAUUUAAAGAUGUUUGUACUUUCACUGCGGAUGCUAUUGAGAUUUUACAAGAUGAUGGUGCAAUACC